rnacentral:rRNA from 1 species
AUUGAACGCUGGCGGCAUGCUUUACACAUGCAAGUCGAACGGCAGCGCGGACUUCGGUCUGGCGGCGAGUGGCGAACGGGUGAGUAAUAUAUCGGAACGUACCCAGGGGUGGGGGAUAACGUAGCGAAAGUUACGCUAAUACCGCAUACGCUCUAUGGAGGAAGGCAGGGGAUCGCAAGACCUUGCGCGCUUGGAGCGGCCGAUAGCUGAUUAGCUAGUUGGUGGGGUAAAGGCUCACCAAGGCAACGAUCAGUAGCUGGUCUGAGAGGACGACCAGCCACACUGGGACUGAGACACGGCCCAGACUCCUACGGGAGGCAGCAGCGGGGAAUUUUGGACAAUGGGGGCAACCCUGAUCCAGCAAUGCCGCGUGAGUGAAGAAGGCCUUCGGGUUGUAAAGCUCUUUUGUCAGGGAAGAAACGGGCGUGGCUAAUAUCCAUGCCUAAUGACGGUACCUGAAGAAAAAGCACCGGCUAACUACGUGCCAGCCGCCGCCGUAA